rnacentral:lncRNA from 1 species
GAGCAAAGGAAUGCUCCUGUAACUGCAGAAGAUUCUCAAAGGAAUAAUUCUAAAUGUGAUGUCAGAAGAAUACAAAAUGUACUAAUUGCAAACUUAGUUCUGACCCUGACUACUCAAUAUAACAAGACUUUGAAGGUUUGCAUGGUGGUAAACCUAAUUGCUAAGUUGCAAUGCAAGGUUUUCAUGCUGUGGAAUCUCUUCCAGGGAACAUACAAUUUGUCAAAAUUAAAGAGCACUAUAAUGUGAAU